UACGAAGGGUGCGAGCGUUGUUCGGAAUUACUGGGCGUAAAGGGUUUGUAGGCUGAAAUGUAAGUCAAGUGUGAAAUCCCCGAGCUAAACUUGGGACGUGCAUUUGAAACUGCGUUUCUUGAGUAUCGUAGAGGGUGGUGGAAUUGUAGGUGUAGGAGUGACAUCCGUAGAGAUCUGCAGGAACAUCAGAGGCGAAGGCGACCACCUGGCCGAUAACUGACGCUGAGGAACGAAAGCGUGGGGAGCAAACAGG
rnacentral:rRNA from 1 species